UUGAGAUUGACACAGUAUAUAGGUAGUAGGUAUGUUAUAAUACUUAUAUUGAAACACGGUACAGUGUGUAACCUAAAAUAUAAGUGUAUAUAAAUUGAUGAUAUAUUUGUGAAGUUUACAUUCGAAACCAUUCAAUACUAGUUGCAGCAAAGGUAGUCGAACACGCGAGAGAAAACCUUAAGAUCCUUCCUUCCUAAGGUUAUUGUCUUGCUUGCUCGUGAACUCACGAGUACAGUCAACCAACAUUUAAAUAGAUCGUUGUAUUAUAAUGUGAAUCCCUUUGGUCUACCACAUUUAGGGUCUACUUUAUCAGUUGAUCGAUCUCUAGCAUAUUUGUGACUAGACCAAGUCUUUCGGAACACCAACUAAUAGCAAGACUGAUUUUAUAUUGUUUAGUACGCUAAAUAGCGUACUAAACAAUAUAAAAUUAGUCUACUCUACAUAUUAUGAAUUUAGUAAGUCGUACGGAGUACCUACUAAUUCCAUGGUACAUAUCUAGUUUUGGGCUACUCCAAAAAACAGAUUUCUACUUCUAGAUUACAGAAAUUAUUAUGAGAAUCCUGUGAAGCUGUAUUGUCUUUACCCCAAGGUCCCUAGUAAUGUUUUCCAAUAAAUAAAUGGACAACACUCAACGGCCCAUACUAAACUUGUUUCGCGGGUACGAUUACAUACAUACGAUACAAACAGAGAGACGAUCAUUACACACCCCGAACAGCAAAAAAUUAUUUUAGUUGUAAUCACAAGAUAAUAAUUGUGUCGCGUCGCGUGCAUUCCAAGAUCUAUUAGAGAAACACUUGCUCAACGGACUAUACCUACAUCAAGAAAAAGGUUCGCUACCUUGCCAUCAGCAUCUUUUGAUGUCAAGUAAGAAAAAUCAAAAUUAUUAUAACACGACAUUUAAGACAAAAAUCAAAAACUACAUCAUGUAAAUAAUGACGAUCUGCAUUUCAUAUGUAAUGAAAUAAAUGAAAAAAGGAAAAAUUAAAAUGAUAAAAUCCUAACUAAAUAUAUGUGUUAUUUACCACCGUCGUAGCCCGCAUUUCAUCGGCAAGAUUUGGAGAAAACGUUGUACAGUGAUGUUUUAUCCUAGUGGGACAAAAAAGAGAAAUAGAAAGAAUAACAAAAUCAACAAUGACAUUAUAAAACACAUUCCAUUGCAUAAUACGGCAACGAAACAAGGCCGCCAUAUUAAAUAUAAUGAAAGGGUGAAAAAAUCAACACCGAUUGGCCCUGAUUUCUGCUCUACAAAAACAAUGUGCAGGAAUAUCAGGUACAGUAAGAAAAUUUUUAUGGCGACUAAAAUGAUACCCCAGACGAACUUAGAAAGUUUAAAUACAAAAUUCAUUGCAGACGUUUUCCUUAACGUUGAUCAACCCGCAGAUCCUGUAAUGUUAUUUUGUAUGAAUAUGAAUAUGGUGCAAAGCCAGGACAUCACUAUCAUAUCCAUUAAAGGUUUGUCAUGCGAGAAUAUGUUUACUAAAAUACAUAAAGACUCAGAUUUGAUUAUUUACAACUUGCUAUUUAAAAAAACAUCUACAAAUGCAGCUAUUAAAGACAAAAGAUGUCAUGUGAAUAUCAACUUACUACUCCCAUAUAUACGAGCUAUUUGUGAUUCUAUGAAACAGUCGAAACACCAAAAACAUAUAAGAGCAAUAACUCAACAGCAAGUUUCAAUUCAGACCAAAGUUCAAACUAAAAUUCUAUUCGUCGAGAAUGAAUCAAGCACAAUCACAUUAAAUAAUAAAAUAACGACUAAGCAAAUUAAGUGGAACUCAUUUGGUUUAGAAAAUAAAUUUAUUAACCCUAAUAUAUGGGAAAACCAAUUAAGAAGACAUCUUCAUAUUUUCAGCAAAAUGCUUACAGAAUUCAUCAACAUGUAUUUUACUUUAAAGAACGAGUCCUCAACUAAUAACACAGUAGUUCCUUUACUCUGCUUCCACAAUUGGCACAUCAAGAAUUUAACUCAAGGCCAUAUGUUGAAAUGUCUUCUAAAAAACAGUCAAGUUAGCGCCCUUAAUAUUAUGAGAAAUUUGUAUUUCAUAAUAAUUACAAACUGUACAUCCUGCUCAAAAAUAGACAUUCACUUCAGGUUGCAAGAUGGUAUAAUUAUGGUUUUCAAUCAGAACGAAUCAGGAAGUAGAUUUAGACAACAAGUAAUAAUAAACAAAGAGCCUAAAGAUGCUUUGCCCAUCACAUCGUGUUCAGGCGAAUUCACCAAUCAAGAAAAUAUAUGGAACACACAAAGCGAAAGUGACAGAGAGAGUGGUUGUUGUAGUUACAGCUCCUCUUUAUAUUCAUUACCAGAUUACCCAUCGCAAAGUACCCUUUUUAUCGAAGAAGAAAUAAAAUCUUGGCAUCAUUUAGCAGAGGAAACCCCGGAAUAUGGAAUAAAAAAGGAUAGUUUCGCGACCCCUGAAGCAAAAAAAAACGAAAUCUUUAUAAACUUCUGGAAUAACAUGUAUCAGCUAACAGAAGUUUUGCAUAAAUUGAAACGCAAUGCAAGUGACAUAGUACAAUCCUACACUGCAGAUGUAUUUAGUAAAUACGACGUAUUCAAUGAAAACUUAUUCGAUACUGGAACAACUUUUGAUUUGUUGUUUAAGAAGGAGGCAGGAAACGUCGGGUCUAGGUUCCUUUUAACUCUGGGGAAGUCGUUGGCGUAUACUAUGUUUAGUUAUGUGUUGUAGAAAAAUAUACUUCAAUAAAAUAUAAUUUCUUUAAAA